GAAUUACAGGUUUGUGUAAUUACAGAUUUGUGAAUUACAGUGCCCCUGAGCCACAGGUUUGUGAAUUAGGUUUGUGAAUUACAGGUUUCUUAAUUACAGUGUGAAUGUAAUUCACACUGUAGGUUUGUGAAUUACAGUGCCCCUGAGCUCCUUUCUUCAACUCGCUUUCUUGUGAGCUGGCCGCAACACCGCAGGAUUGCUUCAGGCCUUAAUCUGGUUCCGGCACGGCACGCUGAGCCUUUGGUUAAAUCCUCUUCCUGGUGGGAAAUCACAGGUAAAUUUGCCCUUCCAGACACCUACCUCACUCUCAGCCCCUUGGUGAUGUGGGUCCUCUGGAUUGUGGCCACCUGUGCUGGGUUCCUCACCUUUUGAUGAUGUGGCCCCACUGGUGUGAGGACACUCCUGUCUGGUUCCCAUCCACUUGGUUAUGUGGACCCCCUGGUGAGAGUCUGAUCCUGGCUGUGUUCCUCACCCUUCUGUGAGGUAGGCCCUCCGUUGUGAGGUCAAUCCUUCCUGGCUGGCACACAUUGCCUUGGUGACGUCAGCCGUGUGGUGGCCGUUUGUGCAUGCUAAGAAUCUCCUCCCCUCGGUGAUGAUGGCCCUCUGGCAUCAGUCCCUAACUGCUGGGCUCCCCACGUUUUCUGAUGGGAGCCCAGUGAUGCCAGGACACUCCUGUCAGUUUCCCAUCCCCAUGGGGAUGUGGGCCUUCUGCUCUGAGGUCCCAACGCCUGGGUUGCUCACAGUUUCAUGAUGUGGGCUCUCUGGUGUUAGUUCACUCCUGCCUGGAUCCCAUAGCUUCUGUGCUCUCGGCCGCCUGCUGGGAGGUUCCAACUGCUGGAUUCCUCACAUUUCUUAUUCUUUGGGCCCUCUGUUUUUAGGUUCCUCCUGCCUGCCUCACUCCCAUCCCCUUGGUGAUGUGUGUCAUCUGGUUUGUGGCUACAUGUGCUGGGUUCCUCACCUUUCGAUGAUGUGGCCCCACUCUUGUGAGGACACUCCUGCCUGGUUCCCAUCACCUUGGUGAUGUGGGCCUUCUGGUGAGAGUCUGAUCCUGGCUGGGUUCCUGAACCUUCUGUGAGGUGGGCCCUCUGCUGUGAGGUCACUCCUGCCUGGCUGCCACACCUCACCUUGGCGACGUGGGCCCUAUGGUGGCAGUUGGAGCCUGCUGGGAGCCUUCUCCCCUCGGUGAUGAGGGCCCUCUGGCGUCAGGCCCUAACUGCUGGGCUCCCCAUAUUUUCUGAUAUGUGCUCCGUGGUGCGAGGACACUCCUGCCAAGUUCC